UGGCGAGUGGCGGACGGGUGAGGAAUACAUCGGAAUCUACUCUGUCGUGGGGGAUAACGUAGGGAAACUUACGCUAAUACCGCAUACGACCUACGGGUGAAAGCAGGGGACCUUCGGGCCUUGCGCGAUUGAAUGAGCCGAUGUCGGAUUAGCUAGUUGGCGGGGUAAAGGCCCACCAAGGCGACGAUCCGUAGCUGGUCUGAGAGGAUGAUCAGCCACACUGGAACUGAGACACGGUCCAGACUCCUACGGGAGGCAGCAGUGGGGAAUAUUGGACAAUGGGCGCAAGCCUGAUCCAGCCAUACCGCGUGGGUGAAGAAGGCCUUCGGGUUGUAAAGCCCUUUUGUUUGGGAAAGAAAUCCAGCUGGCUAAUACCCGGUUGGGAUGACGGUACCCAAAGAAUAAGCACCGGCUAAACUUCGUGCCAGCAGCCGCGGUAAUACGAAGGGUGCAAGCGUUUACUCGGAAUUACUGGGCGUAAAGCGUGCGUAGGUGGUCGUUUUAAGUCCGUUUGUGAAAGCCCUGGGUCUCAACCUGGGAACUUGCAGUGGAUACUGGGGCGACUAGAAGUG
rnacentral:rRNA from 1 species